UCGGCAUCUGUGAUGUUAUCCUAGUUUAUCAUCCUUGCACUUUGACUGUGAAUGAAGAAAAUCACGGGGAAGAAAAACUGAGAUGCCA
rnacentral:snoRNA from 1 species